rnacentral:rRNA from 1 species
GUCCACGCCGUAAACGAUGAAUACUAGGUGUUGGGGAGCAAAGCUCUUCGGUGCCGCCGCAAACGCAUUAAGUAUUCCACCUGGGGAGUACGUUCGCAAGAAUGAAACUCAAAGGAAUUGACGGGGACCCCGCACAAGCGGUGGAGCAUGUGGUUUAAUUCGAAGCAACGCGAAGAACCUUACCAAGUCUUGACAUCCCUCUGACCGUUCCUUAACCGGAACUUUCCUUCGGGACAGGGGAGACAGGUGGUGCAUGGUUGUCGU